UACGUAGGGGGCAAGCGUUGUCCGGAAUUAUUGGGCGUAAAGAGCGCGUAGGCGGUCCGAUAAGUCGGCUGUGAAAGUCAGGGGCUCAACCCUUGAAAGCCGGCCGAUACUGUCGGACUAGAGUGCGGAAGAGGCGAGUGGAAUUCCUGGUGUAGCGGUGAAAUGCGCAGAUAUCAGGAGGAACACCAAUUGCGAAGGCAGCUCGCUGGGACGUUACUGACGCUGAGACGCGAAAGCGUGGGGAGCAAACAGG
rnacentral:rRNA from 1 species